rnacentral:tRNA from 1 species
ACUUGAAUAUCUUAUGUGUAGAGUAUAACAUUGAAGAUGUUGUUGAGGUUAUUAUGCCUUCAGGUG